GAUGAACGCUGGCGGCGUGCCUAAUACAUGCAAGUCGAGCGAAUGAUGAGGAGCUUGCUCCUCUGAUUUAGCGGCGGACGGGUGAGUAACACGUGGGUAAUCUGCCUGUAAGACGGGGAUAACUCCGGGAAACCGGGGCUAAUACCGGAUAACAAGAGAAGAAGCAUUUCUUCUUUUUGAAAGUCGGUUUUGGCUGACACUUAAAGAUGAGCCCGCGGCGCAGUAGCUAGUUGGUGAGGUAACGGCUCACCAAGGCGACGAUGCGUAGCCGACCUGAGAGGGUGAUCGGCCACACUGGGACUGAGACACGGCCCAGACUCCUACGGGAGGCAGCAGUAGGGAAUCUUCGGCAAUGGGCGAAAGCCUGACCGAGCAACGCCGCGUGAGCGAUGAAGGCCUUCGGGUCGUAAAGCUCUGUUGUUAGAGAAGAACAAGUACGAGAGUAACUGCUCGUACCUUGACGGUACCUAACCAGAAAGCCACGGCUAACUACGUGCCAGCCGCCGCUGUAA
rnacentral:rRNA from 1 species